ensembl:lncRNA
CCUUGGGCGAGUCAAUGAUUUCUGUGUUGUAUAUUGAUUCUCUGGCCUCAAACUCCACGUCAGCAUGGCCUGUAGGAGCUGCAUUUGAGCACCUUUUACAUGGAUACGGAGCCUGACCUGGCAGUGGUGAGCUGGAAAACCCAUCUAUUUCUGUAUGUCCUGCAAUGCUAGUGUCAUGUAAUGCUGUGCUGGUCAUUUCAUUUUUAGUAGAAUAAAUGCAUCUAUUUCGGAUGCAUUUGCAUGUUGCAUUGUUAUGAGUGCAAGCAAUGUUGACACAGAUUGUGAAUAAAACGAACUACAAAACUACAAAAGGACAUUCCUGACUUCAGUGUAAUUAAAUCCAAA